UCUAUGGUAACGUGUUUGGCAUCAUGCUGAGGACAUGAAGAACCACUUAUUGAGUGUGCUCUCAUAGGGUCCCCGCGUAAUUAGUUGUUUUUUUAAAAUGCCACAAAAAAGUAAUUGUUGGGUAUAAAAUGAUAAUUGCUUCAAGAAAACAGGAUCUUCUACUGUUUAUUGUUUAGUGUUCAAUGUUUAGCCUUUUGUUCAAAUCUUAAACAAAUUAAACCAGGGAUGGCCACAGAAAAAGCUCUGAGAAAGCCAAUUAAUACUGCGGGUAAACUGUCCUUAGAAACAUCCUGCCAUGAUUUAUGCUAUUGAAUUAAAAAUGGAAGAGGCGGAAAGGAGAAUGAGAGACAGAAAUAAACGAAGCAGAAACUAAACUCAGAAAAGGAACAGAUAAGAACAGCUAAGAUCACAUUUCAAAUAUCCGAUGGACAACAGAAGAGGAAAAAGAAUUGAUUUUUAUUUUUAUUUGUUUGCUUUCCUGUGCAUAAUAAGACCUUUAAUCGACUACAAGAAAUUGUGGAUAGUCUUUAAAAAAUAUUGACAUAGCAGACCACCCCAUCUUCAAAUAAUGUGUUCAAAAUCAAAAAAAGAUUAUGUCAUGGUUGUAUACUGUCAACCUACUUAUUUAAUUUAUGUGCUGAAUAAAAUGGAACUCACAAAAUA